UGACCAAACCUGGAAAGGGAGAUAAAGUGGCUGCGAAGAUUGCCUUGGAUAUUAUUGAUCAUGAUCAAAAAACAACAGAGGACAUUCAAAAAUUGGAAGCUUUUGCGAAAGACAGCGAAGCUGACAUUGCAAAAUUAUCUGAAACAAUAAAGGUAAGUAAAUUCAAGCUAAUAAAACGGUUUAAC